rnacentral:lncRNA from 1 species
UUUCAAACUACAAAGGUUUUUUUUAAUCUCUUAGAUGAUAAUAUUCCUCCAGUAUCAAGACACCCUGCUCUUGCUGUGUCACCUCUAGGAAACGUAGUGCCAGAUUUUCCCGACUGCAGCAGCCUAUGCUCUUGGCAUAUCUUUGGCAAUGAGGCCCACACUAGGUACCUGCUCACCUGCUCACCAUUGCACAAGUCACCUAACCUUGUUGACCACCCUUAACAUUUCCUAACAAAGAAAAGCCACUGCUCCAAAAGGCAGGGUAACGAGGCAAUGAGCAGAGGCGGCCCGAUGUGCCAUCACAGGACAGUGAAAUCCAUACACAGUUGAGGGCUGUUGUGAUUUAUGCCAGGCAGUGUGGGUGCAGCUCUCCCUCACCCUUCUCCAGAUGGCCCGGACACACGCAUACACAGCACACAACACUCAGCUGGAAUCAUUUACACUCUGAAAAAUCCCAGGGCUCAGGCCACAAUAACAAUAGCCUGAAUACUGGCACAGGUGUGUAAUGAAUGGUUUGAAGCUUCCUCUGUGGAGUGAGACUCACUCGUUCAACUGCUUCUUGAGCAAGAUGUCUGUGUCUGGGACCUCCCUUGGCUGGGGCCAGGGAGAGGAAGAAAUCAGGAAGGAUCAAGGCCAAGUACUUCAUGAAAUGGACAAGUGAAGAAAAAAUAAGUUGUCUACAUCUCAGC